rnacentral:rRNA from 1 species
UACAGGGGGUGCAAACGUUGCUCGGAAUUAUUGGGCGUAAAGCGCGCGUAGGCGGCUACCUAAGUCGGAUGUGAAAGCCCCUGGCUCAACUGGGGAAGUGCACCCGAAACUGAGUAGCUAGAGUACGAAAGAGGGUCGCGGAAUUCCCGGUGUAGAGGUGAAAUUCGUAGAUAUCGGGAAGAACACCUAUGGCGAAGGCAGCUCUCUGGGACGGUACUGACGCUGAGACGCGAAAGCGUGGGGAGCGAACAGG